rnacentral:rRNA from 1 species
UACGAAGGGGGCUAGCGUUGCUCGGAAUCACUGGGCGUAAAGCGCACGUAGGCGGCUUUCUAAGUCAGGGGUGAAAUCCUGGAGCUCAACUCCAGAACUGCCUUUGAUACUGGGAAGCUUGAGUCCGGAAGAGGUGAGUGGAACUGCGAGUGUAGAGGUGAAAUUCGUAGAUAUUCGCAAGAACACCAGUGGCGAAGGCGGCUCACUGGUCCGGUACUGACGCUGAGGCGCGAAAGCAUGGGGAGCGAACGGG